rnacentral:rRNA from 1 species
AACAUUGUAGCUUGCUACAGAUGACGACCGGCGCACGGGUGAGUAACGCGUAUGCAACCUGCCUUUGACAGGGGGAUAGCCCGGAGAAAUCCGGAUUAAUAUCCCAUGGUAUUUACGAAUCGCAUGGUUUGUAAAUUAAAGAUUUUAUCGGUCAAAGAUGGGCAUGCGUGACAUUAGCUAGUUGGUAAGGUAACGGCUUACCAAGGCUGCGAUGUCUAGGGGUUCUGAGAGGAUGAUCCCCCACACUGGUACUGAGACACGGACCAGACUCCUACGGGAGGCAGCAGUGAGGAAUAUUGGUCAAUGGGCGCAAGCCUGAACCAGCCAUCCCGCGUGAAGGAAGACUGCCCUAUGGGUUGUAAACUUCUUUUCUGCACCAAGAAUGGUUACUACGUGUAGUGAUUUGACGGUAGUGCAGGAAUAAGCAUCGGCUAACUCCGUGCCAGCAGCCGCGGUAAUACGGAGGAUGCAAGCGUUAUCCGGAUUCAUUGGGUUUAAAGGGUACGUAGGUGGCCAAUUAAGUCAGUGGUGAAAUCCUGCCGCUUAACGGUAGAACUGCCAUUGAAACUGGUUGGCUUGAGUACAGUUGAGGUAGGCGGAAUGUGUAGUGUAGCGGUGAAAUGCUUAGAUAUUACACAGAACCCCGAUUGCGAAGGCAGCUUACUAAACUGUAACUGACACUGAGGUACGAAAGCGUGGGGAGCGAACAGGAUUAGAUACCCUGGUAGUCCACGCUGUAAACGAUGCUCACUCGCUGUAUGCGAUACAUUGUAUGCGGCCAAGCGAAAGUCUUAAGUGAGCCACCUGGGGGAGUACGUUGGCAACAGUGAAACUCAAAGGAAUUGACG